UUCUACAGCACAUCUUGGCCUCUCUGUUUUUCUCCAAUAAACAAGGAACCACCUUCCCAAUUUUAGAGAUACUCUCAAGAAAAAUUGAAGAAAUAAAUGUAUAUAUGUCAACAAUUGUAGAAGAUAUAAUCGAGAUCUGAUUGGGGUGUUACAAAUCCUCUUAUGAUCGUCAACUUUAAAAGGAAGAAGUAAAGCGCAAGAGUGAAGAGAAAUAGAGAGAGAUACAUUAACUAGCGUCUAUUAGGAGAGAUAACAAAUGAGCGUAUCCUUAUUCUCGGAUUCCUUGUGGCUCCGAGUGUGGGAAAUAAGUGUGGUAGUUUCAUGGAUAUCCUUGUGUCCAUCGGUGUAUAUCAUUGGCCCAACAAAUUGUCAUUUAACAUUUAUUCAAUUUCGUAAGUUUUAAAAUGGUAUAUAAAAUUAUA